rnacentral:rRNA from 1 species
AUUGAACGCUGGCGGCAUGCUUUACACAUGCAAGUCGAACGGCAGCACGGACUUCGGUCUGGUGGCGAGUGGCGAAAGGGGGAGUAAUACAUCGGAACGUACCCAGUAAUGGGGGAUAACUAUCCGAAAGGAUAGCUAAUACCGCAUACGCACUACGGGGGACAGAGGGGGAUCGCAAGGCCUCUUGGUAUUGGACCUGCCGAUGGCGGAUUAGCUAGUUGGUAGGGUAAAGGCCUACCAAGGCAACGAUCAGUAGCGGGUCUUAGAGGACGAUCCUCCACACUGGAACUGAGACACGGUCCAGACUCCUACGGGAGGCAGCAGUGGGGAAUCUUGGACAAUGGGCGCAAGCCUGAUCCAGCAAUGCCGCGUGCGUGAAGAAGGCCUUCGGGUUGUAAAGCGCUUUUGUCAGGGAGCAAAUCCUUGUGGCUAAUACCCACCGGGGAUGAGAGUACCUGAAGAAUAAGGACCGGCUAACUACGUGCCAGCAGCCGCAGUAA